rnacentral:rRNA from 1 species
AUUUUAGAGUAAAAUUACUGCAGAACGAGCUGCCGAUCGUGCGCGUGACUAUGAAGGCCUUUGGAUUAAAAAUCACUGUAAGAUUGGGAAGAAAACCUCGAGGUCAAUACAAUGAAGCUUGACGGUACCAUCAGAGGAAGCACGGGCUAACUCCGUGCCAGCAGCCGCGGUAACAUUCAGGGACAAGCGUUGUUCGGAUUCACUGGGUAUAAAGGGUGCGCAGGCGGUUUGAUAAGUCAGAGGUGAAUAUGUCGGCUCAACCGGCAAACGGCCCCUGAAACUGUCAAACUUGAGUCCGAGAGAGGUAGGUGGAAUUCCAGGUGUAGCGGUGAAAUGCGUAAAUAUCUGGAGGAACACCAGUGGGCGAAGGCGGCCUUUUUUUUUCGGAACUGACGCUCAGGCACGAAAGCUAGGGGAGGGAACGGGGAUUCCCCCCCCCCGGGUAGUCCUAGCCGUAAACGAUGGCUACUAGGUGUUGGAGGAUUCUUCCCCUUCAGUGCCGCAGCUAACGCAUUAAGAAAACCCACCUGGGGAAGUACGAUCGCAAGGUUUGAAACUCAAAAGGAAUUGACGGGGGGCCCACACAGGCCGUGGAGCAUGUGGUUUAAUUCGAUGCACCCCGAAGAACCUUACCUAAGGUUUGAAAUGCGGGGGACAGAAGGUAGUUAAAACAUCCUUCUUCGGACUUGUGGGCCCGCCGCUGCAUGGCUUUCGGAAGCUCCAGGUCUGGAAAUGUAAGGUUAAGUUCCUGAAACGAGGGGCAACCCCCGGCCUUAGUUGGCAAUCAGGGUAAUGCAGCAAACUUGUGGAGGGCCGCCAGUGACAAACCGGAGGAAGUUUUGGAACAAAGCCAAGCCAUCUUGCCUCUUAACCCCAAGCCCUACCCCCUGCACCAAGGGGGGG